rnacentral:rRNA from 1 species
UACGUAGGGGGCGAGCGUUGUCCGGAUUUAUUGGGCGUAAAGAGCGUGUAGGCGGUUCGGUAAGUCUGUCGUGAAAUCCUGAGGCUCAACCUCGGGCGUGCGAUGGAUACUGCCGGGCUAGAGGAUGGUAGAGGCGAGUGGAAUUCCCGGUGUAGCGGUGAAAUGCGCAGAUAUCGGGAAGAACACCCGUGGCGAAGGCGGCUCUCUGGGACGGUACUGACGCUGAGACGCGAAAGCGUGGGGAGCGAACAGG